AGAGUUUGAUGGUGGCUCAGGAUGAACGCUGGCGGCGUGCUUAACACAUGCAAGUCGAGCGAAGCACUUUUGCGGAUUUCUUCGGAUUGAAGCAACUGUGACUGAGCGGCGGACGGGUGAGUAACGCGUGGGUAACCCGCCUCAUACAGGGGGAUAACAGUUGGAAACGGCUGCUAAUACCGCAUAAGCGCACAGUACCGCAUGGUACCGUGUGAAAAACUCCGGUGGUAUGAGAUGGACCCGCGUCUGAUUAGGUAGUUGGUGGGGUAACGGCCUACCAAGCCGACGAUCAGUAGCCGACCUGAGAGGGUGACCGGCCACAUUGGGACUGAGACACGGCCCAAACUCCUACGGGAGGCAGCAGUGGGGAAUAUUGCACAAUGGGGGAAACCCUGAUGCAGCGACGCCGCGUGAGCGAUGAAGUAUUUCGGUAUGUAAAGCUCUAUCAGCAGGGAAGAAAAUGACGGUACCUGACUAAGAAGCCCCGGCUAACUACGUGCCAGCAGCCGCGGUAAUACGUAGGGGGCAAGCGUUAUCCGGAUUUACUGGGUGUAAAGGGAGCGUAGACGGCAUGGCAAGCCAGAUGUGAAAGCCCGGGGCUCAACCCCGGGACUGCAUUUGGAACUGUCAGGCUAGAGUGUCGGAGAGGAAAGCGGAAUUCCUAGUGUAGCGGUGAAAUGCGUAGAUAUUAGGAGGAACACCAGUGGCGAAGGCGGCUUUCUGGACGAUGACUGACGUUGAGGCUCGAAGCGUGGGGAGCAAACAGGAUUAGAUAGCCCUGGUAGUCCACGCCGUAAACGAUGAAUACUAGGUGUCGGGUGGCAAAGCCAUUCGGUGCCGCAGCAAACGCAAUAAGUAU
rnacentral:rRNA from 1 species